rnacentral:rRNA from 1 species
GCGGCUUAAUUUGACUCAACACGGGAAAACUCACCAGGUCCGGACAUAGUAAGGAUUGACAGAUUGAGAGCUCUUUCAUGAUUCUAUUGGGUGGUGGUGCAUGGCCGUUCUUAGUUGGUGGAGUGAUUUGUCUGGUUAAUUCCGUUAACGAACGAGACCUUAACCUGCUAAAUAGUAUUACGAACCGGCGUUCGAGGAUGCUUCUUAGAGGGACUGACCACGUUUAGUGGUAGGAAGUUUGAGGCAAUAACAGGUCUGUGAUGCCCUUAGAUGUUCUGGGCCGCACGCGCGCUACACUGACAAAGUCAGCGAGUAUAUAACCUUGGCCGGAAGGUCUGGGCAAUCUUGUGAAACUUUGUCGUGCUGGGGAUAGACCAUUGCAAUUAUUGGUCUUCAACGAGGAAUUCCUAGUAAGCGCAAGUCAUCAGCUUGCGUUGAUUACGUCCCUGCCCUUUGUACACACCGCCCAUCGCUACUACCGAUUGAAUGGCUUAGUGAGGCCUACGGAUUUGGACUGUGGCCGCAAGGCUGCAAGUUUGGAGAAGCCGGUCAAACUUGGUCAUUUAGAGGAAGUAAAAGUUGUAACAAGGUUUCCGUAGGUGAACCUGCGGAAGGAUCAUUAACAAAUCCAUAUGAGCCAAGAUCAUCGCUGGUUUUGGUGAAUAUUUAACCGCCGGUCCGGUCACGGACUGGUUGGAAUAUAAAUGUGUGUUAUGUUGACAGUGUGUGUGUAAAUUUAAUUAUUGACAACUUUUAACAAUGGAUCUCUAGGCUCUUGCAGCGAUGAAGAACGCAGCAAAGUGCGAAAAGUGUUGCGAUUUGCACGAAUCUGUGAGUCAUCUAAUUUUUGAACGCGAAUGGCACUGCUAUGUGAGUAGCAGUAUGUCUGUUUGAGAAUCGCAAAACACGAUCAACUCUAGUUAGAGUUGGGACUGGCCUUAUAUGCCGACUGUGGUGUAUUUGGUCUGAAUGUAUCAAGUUGAUGAGUUCCCCAGUGCGGCUCAAUGUGUGCUAGCGAGACAGUCGUCCCGAUCUCACAUUCUGGCCGUGUUGCAGAGCUCUGAGCACAACUUCUUUUAAUCAUUGAAUACGAUCUCAAAUCAGUCAAGAUUACCCGCUGAACUUAAGCAUAUCAAUAAGCGGAGGAAAAGAAACUAACAAGGAUUCCCCUAGUAACGGCGAGUGAAGCGGGAAGAGCUCAAAUUUAAAAUCUGGCGUAACAGCCCGAAUUGUAAUCUAAAGAGGCGCUAUCGGACAAGUGUUUGUCGUACAAGUUCCCUGGAAUGGGACAUCACAGAGGGUGAGAAUCCCGUCUGGACGAUAAACUCGUGGCCAUAUGAGGCGUUCUCAAAGAGUCGAGUUGUUUGGGAUUGCAGCUCAAAAUGGGAGGUAAAUUUCUUCUAAGGCUAAAUAACGGCAAGAGACCGAUAGCAAACAAGUACCGUGAGGGAAAGAUGAAAAGCACCUUGAAAAGGGAGUUAAAAGCGCGUGAAAUUGUUAAAAGGGAAACGAUUGAAGCCAGUAGGGCCACGGAGAGUUCAGCGGUACCCGCUAAACAUUGCUGCGAUGAGAGUGUGUAAUGCACCUCUAGUGGUGUGUGCAGGCGGACUGCCGUGCAUUCUUUCCAUGGCUAGUCAGUGCCAAUUUGAGUCGCCGGAAAAGGACUUGGGGAAGGUGGCCAAUGCUUCGGUAUUGGCUUUAUAGACCCUCGUAGAUGCGGCAAUUUAGAUUGGAAUCAACAACAGCUAACAGGGGUGAAAAAUUUGCAGCUGUGGACGAUGGAGAAUCAGUCGAGUCUCUGUCGGCAUCUAGCUGGAGCAAUUUGUCUCGGAUGCUGCGGUGACUACUGACGAAAUGGCUUUAAACGACCCGUCUUGAAACACGGACCAAGGAGUCUAACAUAUAUGCGAGUAUUUGGGUGGCAAACCCGGAUGCGGAAUGAAAGUGAGUACGAAUGGGAUCCCCGAUUGUGGGCGCACCAUUGACCGAUCUUGAUAUCUCUUGAUAGAUUUGAGUUAGAGCAUAUCUGUUGGGACCCGAAAGAUGGUGAACUAUGCCUGGAUAGGAUGAAGCCAGAGGAAACUCUGGUGGAGGUCCGAAGCCGUUCUGACGUGCAAAUCGAUGGUCAAAUCUGGGUAUAGGGGCGAAAGACUAAUCGAACC